rnacentral:lncRNA from 1 species
GCCCAAAUCCAAGCCAUCCCAUUUAACUGGGACGAAUGCAUCCUAAGUUUACCAAGAGCACACUAACAUAUAUUAUCCACAAUAACUUCAACUAAUCACUAGAUGAAAACAUUGUUCGACACCAGUGGUGUGACAACAAAACAUUAGAGAUCCAAACAAAAUAGCAUGUUUUUCCCCUUCUCCAAAACAAAACACCAAGAAAUUACAGCACACCACC